GGGCAGCUCCGACGACUGUUGACUGGCGGGCAGCUCCGACGACUGUUGACUGGCGGGCAGCUCUGGUGACUGUUGACUGGCGGGCAGCUCUGAUGACGACUGUUGACUGGCGGGCAGCUCUGAUGACGACUGUUGACUCCUGAUGCGUGGGGCAGGUAUUGGACGUACCAGCCUGGAGACACGCACCUCCAUGCUAGUGUGUCUAGCGGGAAACACCGGACCAAAAGGGCGCACUGGCGGUCUUGAGUGCAGGGUUGGCAUCACCCCUUCCGGCUCGAUGCUCCCCUUGCCCUGGCACCUGCGGGGCGCUGGUACUGGGCGAAGUGGGCUGUGCGUCCGUAUAGGCGAGAUGGUGCGCACCUCAGCGUAACAUGACGCCCUCCACCUCGUACGCACCUCCCUGUAGUCACGAGUAGCUGGCUUACGGCUCUUCCCUGGCCUGGCCAAACUACCCGUGUGCCCCCCCAAAAUAAAAUCUUGGGGCUGCCUCUCGGGUUCCCUUAGCUCCCUUAACUUGUCCGCCCAGAAUUUUCUUUCGUCCUGCCAGGUCCAUUCUUCCAUUUUCUUCUCCUGUGGCUUCCUCCUCUUCUGCUGCUUGGUCCUUUGGUGGUGGGUAGUUCUGUAACGGCUGUCUUCUGUAAAAAUGGACCAAGGCGCAGCAGGUAUGUGAAUACUCAUCUUUAAUUAAAAUAAAGGAGUAGAGCAUCCACUUAACAAUUCAAACAAUAUAUAAGACAGGAACAGUUUUGCAGGCACACAACAUGCAGUGCAAAAACAACUACCCACAAAACCAAGUGACAAACAUACUCCUACAUAUAUGACUCCCAAUCAGGAACAACGAUCCCCAGCUGUUCCUGAUCAGGAGUCACAAGACCAACACAGAACAAUCACACACACAAGACUGCCACGUCCUGACCCCAAAACUACAACAACAGCUCCAUCUGCUGGUCAGGACGUGACACCAACGACGUUUUAGAGAAUUUGGCAGUACGUCCAACCGGCCUCACAACCGCAGAGCACGUGUAACCACGCCAGCCCAGGACCUCCACAUCUGACUUAUUCACCUGCGGGAUCGUCUGAGACCAGCCACGCGAACAGGCGAUGAAACUGAGGAGUAUUUCUGUCUGUAAUGUAGCCCUUUUGUGGAGAAAGCUCAUUCUGAUUGGUUGGGCCUGGCUCCGUAGUGGGUGGCCCAUCCAUGGCUACGCCCAGUCAUGUGAAAUCCAUAGAUUAGGGCCUAAUGAACUUCCUUAUAGGAACUGUUACUCAGUAAAAUCAUAGAAAUUGUUGCAUGUUGCGCUAAUAGUUUUGUUCAGUAUAGUUAUCAGUUAUUACCAGGGGCACAACUUUGGUUUGAUAUAUACAGAGAAAAGGGCCUGAGAAUUGAACCCUGUGGCACCCCCAUAGAGACUGCCAGAGGUCCAGACAACAGGCCCUCCGAUUUGAUACACUGAACUCUAUCUGAAAAGUAGUUGGUGAACCAGGCGAGGCAGUCAUUUGAGAAGCCAAGGCUAUUGAGUCUGUCGAUAAGAAUACGGUGAUUGACAGAGUCGAAAGCCUUGGCCAGGUCGAUGAAAACGACUGCACAGUACUGUCUUUUAUCAACCAAAACAUCCCUCAAACAAAAACUUGGCAAUCUGAACUAAACUAACCCAACUAUAAGUACAACUAACCUUAACUUGCGGAUGAGCCCCCACUUGUCACAACUUGCGGAUGAGCCCCCACUUGUCACAACUUGCGGAUGAGCCCCCACUUGUCACAACUUGCGGAUGAGCCCCCACUUGUGGAUGAGCCCCCACUUGUGGAUGAGCCCCCACUUGUCACAGGCCGGCUCAUAGCCUGUGGCAAAAAUGAGAGGACAUCGACAACUGGUAUAGGCCAAUUCAAAACGUUCUUUAUUAUAAAAAAAUAAACUAUUAACUAUAAACAAAGAAAAAGGAAUGAGGUGUGGAAAUGUCAUAAUGUAAGGUGUAUGUAAGGUGCAUGGAUGCGUGAAUAUGUAUGUGUAAACAUGACUGAGUGGAAACUAAAUACAUCUACAAAGGAACAAACAAAACCGGAUCAUACCUGGAGGAGCAGGGAGAAAGGGAGAAAGGGAGAAAGGGAGAAAGGGAGAAAGCCCAGCGAGCGAGCCAGCAGCCCAGCGAGCGAGCCAGCAGCUCAGCGAGGAGCCAGACCAGCCAGACCAGAGAGAGGUUAGUGGAGCACUUGGUUAAAUACCCUGAGCCCAGGUGGCUCCAAUCACACCAGCUGCAAUCACUAACGACCCUCCUCUGCCUGCAGGGGGAACCACCCCUGCACUGCAGAGGAGGAGCCGUGACAGUUAUGAUACCAUUUAGGACUUUGAGCGUGGCUGAGGUGCACCCAUGACCAGCUCGGAAACCAGAUUGCAUAGUGAGAAGGUACGGUGGGAUUCGAAAUGGUCGGUGAUCUGUUUAUUAACUUGGCUUUCAAAGAUUUUAGAAAGGCAGGGCAGGAUGGAUAUAGGUCUAUAACAGUUUGGGUCUAGAGUGUCUUCCCCUUUGAAGAGGGGGGUGACCACGGCAGCUUUCCAAUCUUUGGGGAUCUCAGACGAUACGAAAGAGAGGUUGAAUAGGCUAGUAAUAGGGGUUGCAACAAUUUUGGCGGAUAAUUUUAGAAAGAGAGGGUCCAGAUUGUCUAGCCCAGCUGAUUUAUAGGGAUCCAGCUUUUGCAGUUUUUUCUGGAUUUGGGUGAAGAAGCAGGGGUGGGGGUUUGGGCAAGUUGCUGCAGGGGGUGCUGAGAUGUUGGCCCGAGGUAGGGGUAGCCAGAUGGAAGCAUGGCCAGCCGUAGAAAAAUGCUUAUUGAAAUGAUCGAUUAACGUAAAUUUAUCGGUGGUGACAGUGUUUCCUAGCCUCAGUGCAGUGGGCAGCUGGGAGGAGGUGCUCUUAUUCUCCAUGGACUUUAAAGUGUCGCAAAACCUUUUGGAGUUAGAGCUACAGGAUGCAAAUUUCUGUUUGAAAAAGCUGGUCUUUGCUUUCCUGACUGACUGCAUGUAUUGGUAUCUGGCUUUCCUGAAAAGUUGCAUAUCAUGGGGACUAUUCGAUGCUAGAGCAGUCCGCCACAGGAUGUUUUUGUGCUGGUCGAGGGCAGUCAGGUCUGGAGUGAACCAAGGGCUAUAUCUGUUCUUAGUUCUACAUUUUUUGAAAGGGGCAUGCUUAUUUAAGAUGGUGAGGAAAUUACUUUUAAAGAACGACCAGGCAUCCUCGACUGACAGGAUGAGGUCAAUAUCCUUCCAGGAUACCCGGGCCAGGUCGAUUAAAAGGCCUGCUUGCACAAGUGUUUCAGGGAGCGUUUGACAAUGAUGAGGGGUGGUCGUUUGACCACGGACUCAUAGCAGAUGCAGGCAAUGAGGCAGUGAUUGCUGAGAUCCUGAUUGAAAACAGUAGAGUGGUUUGGAGGGCAAGUUGGUCAGGAUAAUAUUUAUGAGGGUGCCCAUGUUUACGGAUUUAGGGUUGUUCCUGGUGGGUUCCUUGAUACUUUGUGUGAGAUUGAGGGCAUCUAGCUUAGAUUGUAGGACUGCCGGGGUGUUAAGCCAUAUCCCAGUUUAGGUCACCUAACAGAACAAACUCUGAAGAUAGAUGGGGGUCAAUCAAUUCACAUAUGGUGUCCACGGCACAGCUGGGAGCAGAGGGAGGUCUAUAACAGGCAGCAACAGUGAGAGACUGGAGAGUUUCAUUUUUUUAAAUUAGAAGCUCAAACUGUUUGGACAUAGACCUGGAAAGUAUGACAGAACUUUGCAGGCUAUCUCUGGAAUAGAUUGCAACUCCUCCCCUUUGGCAGUUCUAUCUUGACUGAAAAUGUUGUAGUUGGGUAUGGAAAUCUCAGAAUUUUUGGUGGCCUUCCUAAGCCAGGAUUCAGACACGGCAAGGACAUCAGGGUUGGCGGAGUGUGCUAAAGCAGUGAGGAAAACAAACUUAGGGAGGAGGCUUCUGAUGUUAACAUGCAUGAAACCAAGGCUUUUUCAGUUACAGAAGUCAACAAAUGAGAGUGCCUUGGGACAUGCAGGGCCUGGAUUAACCUCCAUAUUACCCGAGGAGCAGAGGAGGAGUAGGAUGAGGGUACGGCUAAAGGCUAUCAAAACUGGUUGUCUAGUGUGUUGGGGACAGAGAAUAAAAGGAGCAGAUUUCUGGUUGUGGUAGAAUAGAUUCAGGGCAUAAUGUACAGACAGGGGUUUGGUGGGGUGAGGGUACAGUGGAGGUAAACCCAGGCACUGAGUGAUGAUAAGAGAGGUUGCAUCUCUGGACGCGCUAGUUAUGCUGGAUGCGGUCACCGCAUGUGUGGGAGGUGGACAAAGGAGGUAUCUGAGGCAUUUUGAGUGGGACUAGGGGCUCCGCAGUAAACUAAAACAAUGAUAACUAUCCUAAACAACAGUAUACAAGGCACAUUGACAUUUGAGAGAGACAUAAAACGAGGCAUAAAGCAAUCACAGGUGUUGAUUGGGAGAGCUAGCUAAGACAACGACGGGUAAGACAACAACAGCUAAUCAGCUAAGACAACAACGACAGGUAAAAUGGCCAUGAAUGGGCAGAGAGGGUCAGUUAACCUCACACACGGCCUGAGUUUGAGGCUGGGGCUGACAGAUAAACAAAAAAAUAAACAAAAUGGAGUACCGUGAUUAAUGAACAGUCCAGUAGGCAUCAGCUAUGUAGCCAAGUAAUCAUAGGGUCCAGUGAACAGCAAUAGAUGGAACAGAGAAGCCGCAGGGUAGUCGUUACUAUGCUAGCAAGCGGGAGACACAGCGUUUAAAGUUAGCAGGCCGGGGUUAGUAGAAGCGUCUGCUCCGACGUCCGGCAAAGGCCGGUUGAGGGACCAGCGGAUGGAGUUCCGUCGGCAGACCAGUCGUGGUGGUACGGCGGGGCACCGUGUCGACAAAGGAUCCAGGCCAGAUGGCGAAAGGGGUAUUGUAGUUGUAGUAAUUUAGUUUGCUAGCCGGGAGAUGCGCCUGGCUCGCGGCUAACUGGUGCUAGCUUCGGGGAAGGGGCGUUAGCCACUAUAGCCACUCGGUAGCAGCUAACUAGCAGCGAUGAUCCGAUGCAAAGGUCCAGAGCUUAUGGCAAGGAUCCGGUGGAGUAGUGGAUUCUAGCCGUGUUGGGGUAGAGUCCGGGAGGCAUCAGCUGUGUAGCCGAGUGAUCACUGAGUAGGCCGGGAGGUGGGCCUGGCUCAGAGCUAGCUUCGGGGCUGGGUCACUUGGUGGCAGCUAGCUAGCUAGCUGUGAUGAUCAGGAAUAAUGGUCCAGGGCUUACGGCAGGAAUCCGGCGUUGUAGUGGAGAAAACAGUCCGAUACUGGCAGGCUGGCAAGUAUUAUCCAGGCUUAAAAAAACGGCUGAUGUCUGUGCAGAAGGUUUCUUACGUGCUGUUCCUGAUUUUUCCGUAGUGUAUUUUUGUGUUGUUUUAGUGAUUCACCGUAGCGAAGGCGUAGACUCAGGUUUUCUGGGUCUCUAUGUUUUUGUUAAUUUCUUUCUUAGGUUUUUGCAUUCUUCAUCAAACCAUUUGUCAUUGUUUUUAAUUUUCUUAGGUUGUCUCCUUGACAUUUUUUGAUGUGAUAGGAAAGCUAAAAUGUUAAAUAUACUGUUUAGACGUUCUACAGCCAGGUUUACACCUUUACUAUUACAGUGACAUGUUUUGUCCAGGAAGUUUUCUAAAAGGGAUUGAUUUUGUUCUUGCCUAAUAGUUGUUUGGUAGAUUUCUACACUACCUUCCUUCCAUCUAUAGCAUUAAUAUUGUGCAGUUCCUUUUGGUUUGAUGCCUCAUGAUAGAGUAUUGCUCUGUUCAAAUAGACUGUGAUUUUGCUGCGAUGGGGGUUUCAGUGGGCUGACUGUGAAUGCUCUGAGAGACUCUGGGUUGAGGUCAGUGAUUAAGUAAUCUACAGUACUACUGCCAAGGAAUGAGCUGUAGAUGCACCUAGCAUAGGAGACUCCUUGAAGCCUACUAUUGACUAUGUACAGACCCAGCAUGCGACAGAGCUGCAGGAGUUGUGACCCGUUUUUGUUGGUUGUUUUGUCAUAGUUGUGUCUAUAUGGGGCAUAUUUGGGAGGGAAUGCUGUCACCUCCAGGUAGGUAUUUGUCCCCGUGUGCUGAGAGUGUCAGGUUCUUGUCCAGUUCUGGCAUUUAGGUCACCACAGACUAGUACAUCUCCCUGGGCCUGGAAAUGGUUGAUUUCCCCGUCUAGGAUGUUGUCAUUGUUAAAGUAUGGGGAUUCUAUUGGGGGGAUAUAGGUAGCACACAUGAGGACAUUUUUCUCUGUUCCUUAUUAAUUUCGAGACGGAAGUAAAAUGUUCCUGUUUGGACUAAUUUAAUAGUGGGUUAGGUUUGCUCUAUACCACAUUAGCAUACCCCCUGAGUCUCUUCCCUGUUUCACACCUGGUAGUUUGGUGGAUGGGACUGCCAGCUCUUUGUAACCUAGAGGGCAACCAGUGGGUCCGUCUCCUCUAUACCAUGUUUCUUGUAGAGUGAGAAUGUCUGUAUUGUCCUAAUGUGUCCUCCUUGUCCUGAUUGCAGGUUUAUGGGACAUAAUCACAGUGCACCAGUCCCCUCCAGUCCUCUCUGUCCAGCCUGGAGACACUGUGCGAAUUCUCUGUAGAGCCUCACAAGACAUUGAUAACGAUAUGACACUUUACCAGUUCAAACCUGUGCAGGCACCCAGAGGCCUCAUUCAUGAUAGUAACCAGAAGUAUCCUUACACAUCUAGUCGGUUCAGUGGCUUAUUGAAUGGAGCUCUCACCACCUUCACUAUCACAGAGGUCCAGGUUAAGGAUGAAGCUGAGUAAUACUGCCAACAAAGUGAACAGCUUCCAUUCACACAGUGAAAUAUGGCUGUACAAAAACCUCUGUUAGCUUCUCUCACUUCAGUCCGUUUGUGCGAGUGCCCGGCCAAGCAUCCGAGAACUGUCAGGGUUCAAUGACCUCUUUCCAUCAUAGCUGUAGCUGUACUGUAAGCAUAUCACAAUCAUAAAUAACUGGCAAUAGGGUGGCAUUAGCCAGUCAAGGCAACACAAACAUGGGAAUGGAACUGAACUGGCAGCUGGAACGCUGCUGGCCUCUGAUCCCAUGUACCAUCUCCUGCCCUUGUGCACUUGGACAAGGCACUCAACCCCCCACAAUUGCUCUUCGUCAAGGGCACUGCACUACAGCUCAUCCUGUGCCUCUCAAUGUGUGUGUGUGUGUGUGUGUGUGUGUGUGUGUGUGUGUGUGUGUGUGUGUGUGUGUGUGUGUGUGUGUGUGUGUGUGUGUGUGUGUACACUCUUAGAAAAAAAGGUGCUAUCUAGAACCUAAAAGGGUUCUUUGGCUGUCCCCAUAGGAGAAUCCUUUAAAGAACACGUUUUAUUUCCUGGUAGAACCUAACAGAGGUUUUUUACAUGGAACCCAAAAGGGUUCUACCUAGAACCAAAAAGUGUUCUCCUAUGGGAACAGCUGAAGAACCCUUUUGGAACCCUUUUUCUACGAGUGCAUAUCUGGGGUGUUGGGAAAGGCAGGAGACAAAUUUCCACUCUAACCAAUGGACAAUAAAGUAUCUAUUCUAUAGGUCUACAAUAACAGAAUAAACUACUUCAGACUCGGCCAACAGUGUUAUUUGAGCAGUGAUCACCAUGAUGUCAACAUUUCAGCUCCUCUUUCUUUGCCCUAUGGACAAAAAGUACAUAUACAAGUUACAAAACUUAAAGCGGCAAUCAGAAGUAGAAACAAUAGUAAAGUGGUUGCCCCACCCCUGGUUCUGUAAUAAGCUGAGGGAUGGGUCUGGAAAAAUAUAACCACUGAAAUUCAUAGACAGCAUUAUUUUUAACCAUGUUCUGAGGCUAUAUAGUGUUUGUUUCCAUUUUCUUUGUUUACAAACAUUGGAGUAAAACAAGCUUAUAUAUUUUUAUUUAUUUUUUAUUUAUUUAUUAUUAUAUAUAUAUAUAUAUAUAUAUAUAUAUUUCUUACCCUUUUUUCGCCCCAAUUUCAUGGUAGUUACAGUCUUGUCCCAUCGCUGCAACUCCCGUACGGACUCGGGAGAGGUGAAGGGACAGAGCCGUGCGUCCUCCGAAACACAACCCAGCCAAGCCGCAAUGCUUCUUGACACAAUGCCCGCUUAACCCGGAAGCCAGUUGCACCAUGAUGUGUUGCAGGAAACACCGUACACCUGGGGACCUUGUCAGCGUGGAUUGCGCCCGGCCCGCCACAGGAGUCGCUAGUGCUCGAUGGGACAAGAACUUCCCUGUCGGCCAAACCCUCCCCUAACCCGGACGACGCUGGGCCAAUUGUGCGCCGCCCCAUGGGUCUCCCGGUCGCGGCCGUCUGCGACAGAGCCUGGAUCUCUAGUGGCACAGCUAGCACUGCGAUGCAGUGCCUUAGACUACUGCACCACUCGGGAGGCCUUAUAUUUUGGUGGGGAACGACAGUUGAACUAAGUGCAUGAGGUUCAUGGGGCAUCAUCACAGUGGACCAGUCCCCUCCGGUCCUCUCUGUCCAGCCUGGAGACACAAGACAUUGGCAAUGAUAUGGAGGUGCACCAGUUUAAACCUGGACAGGCACCCAAAACUCUUUUUAUGAUGGUAACCAGAGGUAUUUGUGCACACCCGGUCGGUUCAGUGGCCUCUAUACUGGAGCUCUCACCACCUUCACUAUCAGUUGAGUACAAGCAGAGGACGAAGCUUAGUAUUACUGACCAACACAGUGAAACAUUUCCAUCCACACAGUGAAAUACGGCUGUGCAUAAACCUCAGAUCACUGUUCUCAUAUGAGAAUGUUGCCAAGCUCCAGUGCACAGUUUAGCUUCAUUGAAAAACUGUUCCAUGCUUGUAACCUCGGUCUACACUAGACUCUACAUUCGGUCAAAACAGCCUCUCUCGUAUGUGCUAGAGCUCAUAUGGACAUUUGGGAUCUACAUUUUCUUAUUGAAAACAUGUUGUUUCUGGAUAUUUUGCUUCCAUCAAUAAUGACAUAUCUACUGUACAUGGACAACCUCUCAGACUCUUUAUGCAGGAGCUAUAAAGUCCCAAGUUACCUGGGACAUGAUACAGCUGAUCCUGGAAUAAAGGCUGUUAUGAUUUUUUAUUUAUUUACAUUGAUGGAUAUUGAAUUGAGAAAUGGGACCAGGCUAGGAAUCACUGUGAUGACAUGAUCAGUAUGGGAUGAUUCCUGGUGCUAAAUCUUUCAUCUGUAUUGAGCUAUUUGUGUACACAAAGAUACAUCCACUGGAUUGAUCAGUAAGGUCAUGCCACAGCCGCCACUCAGGUCAGUGUGUUUGCCCCAACUGGUAAGGACCUGACCAGAACUGGUGGUCAGACCACGCUGCUGUGUCUGAUCAAGUCACUGUGAGCUGGACAAUGGAUGGGAAGGGUGUCUCCGGAGAUCAACAGGACAGCCAGUCUAUACGUAUUCCUGCUAGGACUUACAGCACAAGCAGCACACUUGCUUUACCCCACUCUUACCUGGGAGUCUGGAGAGAAGUACAUCUGCCAGGUCCAGCAUUGAGCCAGAGGGAACCCAUCACUGGAACUCUUCUGAGGAACCAGUGUGUGAUGGAGAAGUUGCAUAUCUAUCUCUGUACUUUCAUGAAGUAUAGACAUACAGCUGGUGUUUUCCCUUCUGCUUUUCAAUAGAAUGGUUCUCUCACUGUAGCUAUAAGUGCAUUUGAUUACUUUGACUACAACUAACAAUGUUUCACUUUAGAAGGCUAUUUGAGAAGUGUAAUUACUUUUUCAUCUGAAAAUGACAUUUAUUAAGAGGCAUUUCUCUAUUUUCACUUACAUUCAAUUAAAACGUUAACACAUGAAUGAAUCAUCACAAUCUAUGAUGAAAUUAAAUGGUGUACAAUUGUUAGACAGUAUCGUUUUUGCUUGACAAUAAGCAUUUCAUUUAAAAAAAAGAAAAAUGCCUGAGCGUGACUUUUUGAUAGGUUGUUUGAUUAGCUUAUCGAGACAAGUGGGAGUGCUGGCAUGAAACAGGUUCUACUGCAUUGCUCAUGAUAGCGACACAUACCACAAAGCCACAACACCAUACCUCAUUCUCCUGUUGGAUGCUCUGUCAAAAAAGAUCGGUCAUAGAAAAUAUAUAAGCCACUGGCAUCUGCAAUCCAAUGUUGACAAAGUGCCACUUACCCAUCCCCAACGCUCCUAAAACCAUCCCUGCUGUUGUCCCUAUCGUACCUGCCCAUGUGGACCACCCCACUGCCACUGAUGCUGUGGCCCCAACAGACACCCCUGCUGCCCCUACCACCCCUAACAGUGCCCCUGAGGUCCCUCCCGCUCCCAGCACUACAGGGGAAGAGACCCUCACUACUAUCAGAAUGACCACUGCCAACCCAGCUGAUCCUACUAUAACCUUCCCCUUAUCUUCCCCCUUGCCCAAAGGGCCUCCUAUGGUGGCCCCUAAGCCUAGCUGACAUAGCUUUGACACAAAAAAUCCUGCGCCCAAGGCCUCUAGAGAAGAUCUGUGGUUCAUCUGGGUGCUAAUGUUCCCUCUUGAUAUAUCGUGACCAACCCUGCGCAUUUUGAUAGAUUCCGACACCACUUCCUGAUGUGCGUGCACAGUGAGCACCGCUAUGACAAACGUGGCAAACAUUCCCAUGCACCCUGCAAACAUCCAGAAGUAAAAAUUUGAUGAUUUCAUGAACAUGAAGGACAUGAACAGGACCAAAGCUAAAAGGACCACAAACACAAACCGGUAGUCCCCGAAUCCAAACACCCCAAAUCCUGCUGUGACCAUGGCGGUCAUAGUCAUGGGUAUCCCUGAAAACGCCAGGAAAUCCAUGUAUUUCACCACCACUUUGUUGAUCUGCUCUUGAAUGGUCCUUUGCUUAUUUACCUCCUCCAUCCAUUCUCUCCUCUUUCUCUCCAUCUCAUUUCUCUCUCUGUGCUGUGCCUCCCAGUUUGCUCUAUGCUCCAGGCCCUCUGUCCUCUGUCCUUCCUUGUCCAAUGUGACAAUUCUCUGCUCAAUCUCCACUGUCACUCUGUCUCUCUUCUUCACCUCCCUCGCCUCCAUCUCUCUCAGCUCUCUCUCCCUGGCCUCCAGAGAGCUCUGUCCCAGGCGGACACAGGACUCUCCUUGUCUCCAUAUGAACUUGAGAAGGAAGUGCAAAGCAGGUUUGAGCAGGGUGAAUAUGCUCAGUGCCCAGAGAAGUCCCACCAUCCCUGAGCCCACCACAACUGCCUCAAUGACGACUCCAAGUGUUGCUCCACUGGCUGUGGUCCCGAAAGCACCAGCCAGUCCAACUGCGAUCCACACAACCACAGAUUCUGCCUGGGAUGCUCCACCACCACUGCUCCUGGCACCCAGCAAUACGGAAGCCAUAGCCGCUGCGAAUAUGACCCCAGCCACCACUGAAGUCAUGACUGUGGUUAGUGCCGUUGCUCCCAGGAGGGUACCCAGUCCCAAGGGCCCCACAGUCUGGACUCCGUCAGACACAGGCUUAAGCAGGGCCCCUGAGGUCAUCACUGACAUAGCCUCAUUCACUGGCUCCUCAGUGGCCCCCAGCACACAGCCUCCCACCACUCCCAGGACAAAGCCCAGAACCGCUUCCAACAUGGGGCUCCUGGCCUCUGAAACAAAGCAGGAAAAGGGAGGGUCACUGACAAAAACACUGGAGGUGGUAUAACAGCUUUGUGGUAUAGUUUCUAUAUAUUGCCUGAAGAUGUGUAAUAAGUAAAUAUUGAUGAAAAAGUAAG
rnacentral:lncRNA from 1 species